rnacentral:lncRNA from 1 species
AAAUGGAAGACAUCAGUUAAUCCAGAAAGCUGAAUAAACAGAAGUUGGUUGAAAGCUUCUAGGAUAAAUGUUUACUGAAAGAACAGAGAGAAAAAAUGGGGGACCAAUGGAUCUUCUCCACCCUUCCAUAACCACCAACAAAUAGGAGAGCUUCAACUCAAGCAUCACUUCCUCUGAGAAGUCCUCCCUAAUGAUUCCUCUCCUCCUGAUAAAGGUAGACUCCCCUGCUUAGGAGCACCACAGCAAGCUGCUAUAUCAAAGUUGACAUGUGUACUGGCUUCCCUGGGUCAGUUCCAGAUUAUGUCUGCUGCCCCAGUGGCAAUAGAUUGAGAUUUCCCAAACGAAAGAGAGCACAACAGCUUCAGCAAGCCAGAGCAGUGGCCAGGAAAGAUUUUAAUCUGUAAUGGAAUCACCCAGCUUUCAUUUGUAACUGCUAACCUGAAGGAUUUUA